GUUUUUUUUUUUUGCUUUUUUUUUUUUUUUUUUUUUUUUUUUGUUAAUUAUUCACGUUUUUUGCUAAUUAUUCAUGUUUUUGCUCCGUUUAAGAAACAAAAAAAGAAGGAAUGUAAACAGUACAGCAGCCUUCGUGUUCUCCAUCUUCGUUAUUUUUUUUUUCAAAAAAAAAAAAGAAAAAAGAAAAAAAA
rnacentral:ribozyme from 1 species